rnacentral:lncRNA from 1 species
CGCCCCCGCCGCCGCCUCGUCCCCCUCCUCCGCCUCCUCCGCCGCUGCCCUCGCCGCCGGCGCCGACAGCACGACGGCGAGCGCGAGCAGCAGCAGCGAGAUCCAGGCCUUCGGCUUCGAGAUCGCCAUGGCGGAUUUCCUCUUGUGAGAGUUGAGACGACGACGACACGACGCCGCUGCCGCAGCGCUCCACGGGGUUUUAAUAGUG